rnacentral:rRNA from 1 species
GACGAACGCUGGCGGCGUGCCUAAUACAUGCAAGUGGACGCAAGGGAACACACUGUGCUUGCACACCGUGUUUUCUUGAGUCGCGAACGGGUGAGUAACGCGUAGGUAACCUGCCUAUUAGCGGGGGAUAACUAUUGGAAACGAUAGCUAAUACCGCAUAAUAUUAAUUAUUGCAUGAUAAUUGAUUGAAAGAUGCAAGCGCAUCACUAGUAGAUGGACCUGCGUUGUAUUAGCUAGUUGGUAAGGUAAGAGCUUACCAAGGCGACGAUACAUAGCCGACCUGAGAGGGUGAUCGGCCACACUGGGACUGAGACACGGCCCAGACUCCUACGGGAGGCAGCAGUAGGGAAUCUUCGGCAAUGGACGAAAGUCUGACCGAGCAACGCCGCGUGAGUGAAGAAGGUUUUCGGAUCGUAAAGCUCUGUUGUAAGUCAAGAACGUGUGUGAGAGUGGAAAGUUCACACAGUGACGGUAGCUUACCAGAAAGG